UCAUGCGUUCAUUUGUUCAUCCAUUUCAAAUUCUAGGUCCCAUUUGAUGGCUCAAGGCUUGUUUUCCCACCCGUCGCAGCAGCUGUCUUUGCUCUUUGUUUCUACAGUCUGUUUAGAUGUCUAAUGUCAGCAGGCUAUGCUCAUGCCACUUUCUCUGGAGGACUUCUUGGCUACGUUUUCUACGAUUGUAUACACUACUACCUUCACCAUGGUUCACCAAGACCUGGAGGAUAUUUUCAUAAUUUAAAGAAAUAUCAUGUUCAACACCACUUUGAAGACCAGCAAAAAGGUUUUGGAAUCUCAAGCAAACUGUGGGAUUAUCCCUUCUUGACGUUUCCUGAAAAGGCUAAGUCCAAUUAACUUAAUGAAAUAAUAAUAAUUUAUUUAUUUGCACAAGAACGACAUGCAAUUUUGUCUUGCAGCAAAUAAUUACAUUGUGCACUGCAAUAAUGUACAAGUGAUCACUUAAAAAAACUGGGGAAAUGGGGAAAUUUGAACACCAAAGUAAUUCGGUCAGGAAGCAGCCUUUAAGCACUGUUUUGCUAUAUUUGAUCUAUAUUUCUGUUAAAAAAAUUACUGACCUUUCUUAAAAUAUGUAAUAAUAUUAGGGUAUUUUGUGGUCUAGCAUCCGUAGAAAUCUCACCAUUUUGCCAUUGGAAAAAUAGAUGUUUGUACUGAUUUCAGACCAUAAUAGAAUGUAAUGUGUAAUUCUAUUUUAGGAAAUACAUAUGCAAACUACAUUCAGUUCAUCGUAAGCAUACGUAGAUUAUAGAGCACUGUAGAACUAAUUGGGAUUCCUGUAGUAAAUUAGAACACAGGUAGCCCAUAACACGUUUAUUGGUGCCACGGGAGCAACGUAAUUUAUUAGCACCUGAGCACUAAUUGGGAUUCCUGUGGUACAUUAUAACACAGGUAGCCCAUGGCAUAAUUUCUGAUAAAUGUAGAUAAGAAUAUACUAGAGUGAAAAUACAAACUUUUAAAUUAACGAUGAGGGUAAAAAUAGUACAGAAUAUACGAAACAUUUAACGAGUGAAAUUUCUCUGGUUUUGAGAUUUAACUCACUUGUUAAGAACAUAAUCAAAAUUUGUCAUAAUUAGAAUUUAACUUUUCAAUCUUGCUAAAGCGAACCGUGAGAAAUCUUGUAGGAAUGGAGGAGACGGCAGGGYUAUCAGUUGAAACACACAACAUCCAAACGUGCAAURUGAAUGUUAUACACUUCUAAAUCACCAACAGUUUWAGAUUUUUUUUUGAAUCUAACAAUGUCUAUUUAUCAUGUUGAUAUUCGUAGGGUGACUUUACACGCAUCUGCAUAUUUUCGAAACCGCAUAUCAUAUUUUUUUUAAUUACGUUUACGCAAAAAUGAUCGUUGUCUUAAAAACGCGUGAUUGGUGUUUCUACUUGAAAGGCGUUUUAUCCGCAGAUACGGUCAUCGUUUUACGGUGUUUUCGCGUAAACGUUAAGCCUACAUGUAAAUGCAUAAACGAAAAAAAUUGCGGUUUUGAAAAUUUAUACGAAUACGUCUAACGCUAAAGCAACAGGCCAUUUUCAGAAUGGCAUUAUAGCCACAACUAACKAUAUWUUUGUUUAGUGGUGGUUGUAUUUUUCCUUGUAUGUUUCAAGGAUUAAGUGAAGUCUASAAAAAAGUAGAGUAAAAGUCAUAARAAAUUGAGUAGAAUAAGAAACAAAAUAUAUAAGAUGGUAUAUCCAAUAUGGCGAUUAUCUUGUAUGAAUUCGUAGUGUUUUUAGACUUAAUUGUGGCUAAUAAUUUGUUUUGUUUUAGACUUUGAUAAAUGUAGCUUACUGUUUAAGCUAUUAGCUGUAUUAGGUGUGACAGCAGCUUUCAUUUUAAGCGUCGCCAUGAUAUUUCMUUGUAAAAGCUAAAUUCAAAAAUAUAAGCCAUAUUCAAAGACAAAAACGUUUCAGUUGUGGAAAUUAGUUUUGUACGUGUAAGAAAUUGAAUUAGACACUACUUGUUAUAAUUGAAAAAGUAAAUUAGUAUUUUAAGAUAUCGAAUGAACUAUAUUAUCACUACAUUAUGAAAUAAUGAUACUUAAAAGUUUCUGAUUUACAACAAAAUCGGAAGUGASGGAGUGAUUGAAAAAUGGCGGGAAACCAAAUGGCGAKYGCGCCGAGUUCAAUGGAUGACGUCAUUCAAUAUGGCGGCCAUUUUUGUAUUAGAAUUGAUCUUUUAGGUAUCAGAAUCUUUUUUUCUAAAAAGGUCACUUAAUAUAUUGAGCUACUGAGCGAAUUUCRUGAAUCAAGAGAAAGAAAGAAAACUGUAUUGGAAACAGUUCAAAAAGUGCAACAAGAAAUCAGCUGCUAUGUUUUUGUGAAAUUUUAUUCUUCUGCAUGAUUGAAAAUCGCUCUGCUCUGCUCUGCGUGUUUAGCAAAAAGUUGCACCAUUCAUAAAUAAUAAACGGCAAAGAGAUUAGAAUUUAUUGUCAUUUAGCUAGCUCAGUUUGUUGACUAAAACAAUGGAUACAGUAUGUAGGGCAGCAUAAACCCGUGAAAGUAAAUCUAUAAUAUUCAGAAUACAACAAAUGUAAGUAGAGCAAUGUGAAGCGACGCCRUUUUUUGCAGMAACGCAUGUUGGUAGUUGYAGUCCUCGUAMUUAUUAUAGACACUAAAAUAUCUCCCUAAAAARCGUUUUUACUUUUUUUAUUUUCUUUGCCGAAACRGUAYAACUAAUUCUAUUUUUUCUUAGAAAAAGCAAAAACUUCUUAGGAGGACUCUUGUAGCGGACAUAAAAGAGUACAAGGACUACAACGACCAUCAUGCUUUGCUCUGCAAAAUGGCGUCGCUGCACAUUGCCUAUUAUGCGAACUCGUUUGUCUUUUCUAGUCUAAUYUACRCUUWACUACGCUUUUACUGCAAUAUUUGGUUAGCUCUUUUUCACGCUUUUCGUGUUUGACAYKUUGMGACCACAAGGAAAGCAUUUUUUUAGAAUAAAGAGUCUCUUUCGCGUUCUAACUGUCAUCACUUACAAUACAUCUAAUAAUACUAAUUUAUGGGAACUAAAGCUCAGUGUUCAUGUCAUUUAUCAAAAUGACGAUAUUUAUCUACAAUUCACACGUGUUUUGUCACUAAUAGUAAAUUAUUUAGCACAAAUAUGGACCUAGGGGAAGGCACUUACGAUAUAAUACGAAUAAAUUACGGAAGAGCACAUUCAUGUUAUCCGUGAAAUAAUUUGCAAUUAAUUUUGGCAAAUGAGUCGUAAAAUAGUUUGUUUUGUGUUGUUUAAUUAGACGCAAUUUUUGCGAUUUAGUUACAAAAUGUUUCACUGAUAUAUUGAAUGCACUCUCAAGUAGUCUCAAGUAGUAGAAUAAAAUAGGGAAUGAAUUUUCGCAGGUAUUUUGUAAUAUAGUUAUUUAAGGAAAACCUGGAAUUCGGGGUUAAAAAUAAAUUAUCUGCACGUUAUAUCGUUA